rnacentral:rRNA from 1 species
UACGUAGGGGCCUAGCGUUGUCCGGAAUUAUUGGGCGUAAAGAGCUCGUAGGCGGUCCGACAAGUCGGAUGUGAAAUCUCCACGCUCAACGUGGAGGGGUCAUUCGAAACUGUCGAACUCGAGUCCGGUAGGGGAGUGUGGAAUUCCCGGUGUAGCGGUGAAAUGCGCAGAUAUCGGGAGGAACACCAGUAGCGAAGGCGGCACUCUGGGCCGGUACUGACGCUGAGGAGCGAAAGCGUGGGGAGCGAACAGG